ACUUUAGAACAAUAGCAAGACAGCCCCUACAGUUUUUUGAUUGAUUCUGCAUAGAUUGGUUUGCUGCUUUGGGUUGGAAUGCUACUGGAUAUAUGUCGGAAUUAGAGUGCUAUUGGAAGAUGGUGGGUUGCUGCAUAUGAGUUGGAGUGUUCCUGGGUAUGUAGCUAGAAUUAGAGUGCUGUUGGAAGAUGGUAUUGCUACUGGAAGUUUUGCUCAAAAACUUGCCGUUGGAAUACUUGCAUUAAUUUUUGGAAAUUUUAUUGGGUAACUUGGCUUGGUGGCUGAAAUUUUAAUUGCUUUUCUUGGAGUUUGAUUGGAAUUUAACUAUUAUUUUAUUCUUUAGGAUGGUUUUUCCAAUUUGAGAUGUUUUAUUAUGUAUUGGUGGUGAUCACAUUGGAUACUAUAUGUAUUUCUUUCAAAAUUAAUUUGCUAAAUUGAAUGGAUGUUAAUUAA
rnacentral:lncRNA from 1 species